UACGAAGGGUGCAAGCGUUACUCGAAUUACUGGGCGUAAAGCGUGCGUAGGUGGUGAGUUAAGUCUGUCGUGAAAGCCCCGGGCUCAACCUGGGAAUGGCGAUGGAUACUGGCUCGCUAGAGUGCGGUAGAGGAGAGUGGAAUUCCCGGUGUAGCAGUGAAAUGCGUAGAGAUCGGGAGGAACAUCAGUUGCGAAGGCGGCUCUCUGGACCAGCACUGACACUGAGGCACGAAAGCGUGGGAGCAACGGG
rnacentral:rRNA from 1 species